rnacentral:ncRNA from 1 species
CCUAGCACUUACGUGCCAGGCUGAGCUAUGCCGUGCUUUCAGCACU